rnacentral:rRNA from 1 species
AACGAACGCUGGCGGCGUGGAUAGGACAUGCAAGUCGAACGGGACAUUUUUAGUAGUAAUAUUAGAGAUGUUCAGUGGCGAACGGGUGCGUAACACGUGGAUACAUUCCGGAAAGCGGGGGAUAGCCCAGGGAAACUUGGAUUAAUACCGCAUGUGGUCGCAAGACUAAAGACGGGGAUCGAAAGACCUGUCACUUUCCGAUUGGUCCGCGGCCUAUCAGCUAGUUGGCGGGGUAAAAGCCCACCAAGGCGACGACGGGUAGCUGGUCUUAGAGGACGACCAGCCACACUGGAACUGGGACACGGUCCAGACACCUACGGGUGGCAGCAGUCGAGAAUCUUUCACAAUGGGGGCAACCCUGAUGGAGCGACGCCGCGUGGAGGAUAAGGUCUUCGGAUUGUAAACUCCUGUCAUGCGAGAACAAGGUUGCAGGGCUAAUACCCGUGCAAAUUGAUGGUACCGCAAGAGGAAGAGACGGCUAACUCUGUGCCAGCAGCCGCAGUAA